GACCAGACUGAGAGAAACCGUUUUUCUGUGUACUGGAAGCAGGUUGGACCCAUUGUCUUUGGCUCCUUCUGCCUAUUCAUUUUUGAUAUGUGUGAAAGAGGAGUACAGCUGAAGAACCCCUUCUACAGUAUCUGGGCAUCAGAUGUUGGGACAGAGCUUGCUAUGGCCUUCAUCAUUGUAGCAGGAAUCUGCGCAUGUCUCUACUUCCUGUUCCUGUGCUUCAUGGUGUUCCAAGUGUUCAGAAACAUCAGUGGGAAAAGGUCGUCUUUACCUGCUAUGACAAAGGCUCGUCGACUGCACU